CGCGUUGGGGGGGGGACGCGACACAGCUCGGGCCCGCCAGUGCCCCAACGGGGUCCUAGUUAGGGCCCGAGCAUAGCUGCUAAGCAGCUGCGAGAGCCCUAUUAUUCCCCAAGUGGUUUUUCUUUGUUUCUUUCUUAGGGCCCGAGCGUAGCUGCUAAGCAGCUGCGAGAGCCCUAUUAUUCCCCAAGUGGUUUUUCUUUGUUUCUUUCUUUCUUCUUUUUCCUCCCCUUUGAACUGGAAAAUGGCCCACUUCCCACUGGCGAAAACUCAUGAAAUUUGGCAGGAUGACCGGGCCUGGUGAAAAAUUUGAUAUUCCGAAGUCGCCCAAACAAGAAAAUGCAAAAUGGCUCCAUAGCGCCCCCUAAGGUGAAAAUUCACACUAUUGACUGUCACGCCUUUACGCUUUGUCAUAUUGACACAAAAAUUGACACACACAUGUAUCUCAAUAAGAUCUACAAAAAAGUCAGUGCGGGCGUAUCUGUCAAAUGUACGGUUAAAGGGUUAUUCCGCAUUUUUUGCCGAUACGCACACAUUGGAAUUUCGCUAACUCCUCCUAAGGCUUUCGUUCCACCGGCACCACAUUUGCUCAGGCCAAUCUACACCCCAUGGCCAUUAAAAGUUAUCCAAAUCAUGACGCUGCACCCCACGGUUUAGGUUCUAGGGGGCGCAAAAGAUAACCCUAAAAUCCACAUAUUUAAAAGUCUUAUAACUUUUUAUUUUUGCCCUCACUGGCCUCCAAGUUUUCUAGGAUGAUGCAAUGUCCAGCCAUCAACACAUUUGUGAAGGAAUUUUUAAUCCCCAAAAGAGCGCCCCCCCAUGGCAGGAGAAAAAAGUCAAUUUUUUCUUGUCCCCUAAGGUGAAAAUACACAUUGUUGAGUGUCAUGCCUGUACGCUUUGUCAUAUUGACACAAAAUUUGACACACACAUGUAUCUCAAUAAGAUCUAUGAAAAAGUCGAUGCGCGCGUAUCUGUCAAAUGUACGGUUAAAGGGUUAUUCCGCAUUUUUUGCUGAUCCGCACACAUUGGAAUUUCGCUAACUCCUCCUAAGGCUGGCGUUUCACCGGCACCACAUUUGCUCAGGCCAAUCUACACCCCAUGGCCAUUAAAAGUUAUUCAAAUCAUGACGCUGCACCCCACGGUUUAGGUUCUAGGGGGCGCCAAAGAUAACCCUAAAAUCCACAUAUUUCAAAGUCUUAUAACUUUUUAUUUUUGUCCUCACUGGCCUCCAAGUUUUCUAGGAUGAUGCAAUGUCCAGCCAUCAACACAUUUGUGAAGGAAUUUUUACUCCCCAAAAGAGCGCCCCCCAUGGCAGGAGAAAAAAGUCAAUUUUUUCUUGUCCCAUAAGGUGAAAAAACACAUUGUUGACUGUCAUACCUGUACGCUUUGUCAUAUUGACACAAAAAUUGACAAUCACAUGUAUCUCAAUAAGAUCUACGAAAAAGUCAAUGCGCGCGUAUCUGUAAAAUGUACGGUUAAAGGGCUAUUUUGCAUUUUUUGCCGAUUCGCACACAUUGGAAUGUGGCUAACUCCUCCUAAGGCUUUCGUCCCACUGACACCAAAUUUGCUCAGGCCAAUCUACACCCCAUGGCCAUUCAAAGUUGUAAAAAUCAUGACGCUGCACCCCACGGUUUACGUUCUAGGGGGCGCCAAAGAUGACCCAAAUAUCCACAUUCUUAAAAGAAUCCACAUUCCCCCCCCCCCCCAUCCCCCAACCCCCAUGGCAGGAGAAACAGUCAAGUUUUUCCUGCCCAUCACUCAAUGGCUCAAUCGCAUCACUCUCCCGGCAACACCGUAACGAGGAGCAACCUGCCAUUUGGAUAUAUCCUAGCUGUGUUUCUGCCUUCACUCAUGGUCCAGACCUUUUUCAAAUAGGACAUGUAGUUUGUCUGCAGCGAGCGUUUUGGUAGAAACUGCGCCUCCCAUUCAUUAUAAUGGGAAAUGACCACAGACAAGUGCGCACACCAUCUUUGGACCUUGAGUGUGACGCGAUCGGGAGGGGGAGGCGGUCGCGCUGGGGGCGGCGCGAUGCGGCUCGGGCCCGACAGUGCCCCACCGGGGUCCUAGUUAGGGCCCGAGCCAGCUGCAGAGCAGCCGGGCGUAGGCCCUGUUAUUCCUGUAGGGGUUUUUCUUUGUUUCUUUCUUUAGGGCCCGAGCGUAGCUGCUAAGCAGCUGCGAGAGCCCUCUUGUUCCUGCAUGUUUCCUUCUUUCGUUAUUAUUUUUCCUCCGCUUUAAACUGGAAAAUGGCCCACUUCCCACUGGCGAAAACUCAGGAAAUUUGGCAGGACGACCGGGCCUGGUGAAAAAUUCGAUAUUCUGAAGUCGCCCAAACAAUAAAAUGCAAAAUGGCUCCAUAGCGCCCCCUAAGGUGAAAAUUCACAUGACGGCUGUACGCUUUGUCAUAUUGACACAAAAAUUGACACACACAUGUAUCUCAAUAAGAUCUACAAAAAAGUCAGUGCGGGCGUAUCUGUCAAAUGUAAGAUUAAUGGGUUAUUUUGCAUUUUUUGCAGAUCUGCACACAUUGGAAUUUCGCUAACUCCUCCGAAGGCUUUCGUUCGACCGGCACCACAUUUGCGCAGGCCAAUCUACCCCCCAUGGCCAUUAAAAGUUGUACAAAUCAUGACGCUGCACCCCACGGUUUACGUUCUAGGGGGCGCCAAAGAUAACCCAAAAUCCACAUUCUUAAAAGUCUUAUAACUUUUUAUUUUUGUCCUCACUGCCCUCCAAGUUUUCUAGGAUGAUGCAAUGUCCAGCCAUCAACACAUUUGUGAAGGAAUUUUUACUCCCCAAAAGAGCGCCCCCCCAUGGCAGGAGAAAAAAGUCAAUUUUUUCUUGUCCCCUUACAUGAAAAUACACAUUGUUGAGUGUCACGGCUGAACGCUUUGUCAUAUUGACACAAAAAUUGACAAUCAUGUGUAUCUCAAUUAGAUCUACGAAAAAGUCAAUGACGCGCGUAUCUGUAUAAUGUACGGUUAAAGGGCUAUUUCGCAUUUUUUGCCGAUUCGCACACAUUGGAAUGUGGCUAUCUCCUCCUAAGGCUUUCGUCCCACCGAUACCAAAUUUGCUCAGGGCAAUCUACACCCCAUGCCCAUUCAAAGUUGUAAAAAUCAUGACGCUGCACCCCACGGUUUACGUUCUAGGGGGCGCCAAAGAUGACCCAAAAAUCCACAUUCUUAAAAGUCAUUUUGGCCACUGCAGGAGUACAGAGUACUGCAGUUCUAGGGGGCGCCAAAGAUGACCCAAAAAUCCACAUUCUUAAAAGUCUUUUUGGCCACUGCAGGAGUACAGAGUACUGCAGGAUACACACACAUACACACACACACACACACACACACACACACACACACACACACAGACACACACACACACUCAGAGUCUGUUUUUUAGCACCUGCAAAAACAUGCUGUUUACAUAUUUGACAAGAAUGCAGAGGCUUCCUUUUGCCCCUGAAAAAAAUCAGAUUUCAAACACAACUUGACUGUUCAUUUCUCCAAAAGACAACCAUGAAGCUCCAUCCAAACCUGAAGCAGAUAGUUGGUGCAUGUGUACAGUAACCUGAGGGGAGUGAGGUGACUAUUUCUGAGGAGAACAUGAGCAGUGAAGAUUCACCUUGGAGCUAGAACAGGGACGUGCACAUGAUUAUACAGGGGCAGGGGCUCAAGUUUUUUCCAGUCAUUUAUACAAUAUGGAAAUUAAUGUGAAAUUAAAACACAAAUAUGUGUGAUGAACUGUUUUUAAAACUUAAACUUCAAAUAAAAAUUGUAAACUUCAAAACAUAUGCAAAUUUUUAACAAAGAACAUAGUAAUUUACCUCUAUUUACAUCAAAAUGCAGGCAAUGGCCCAGGCGUUCUUUGUAAAAUUAUUUACAAAACACUGUAUAGUCUCACAAAUGCCACUAUUUAUUCAUGCCACUACAAAAAAACAUGAUGUAAAUGAUGCAUGAUGUAAAACAUGAUGUAAAAAACUUGUGUAGAUCCUCCUCUAUGUCAGUCCAUGUGUAAUUUUUCCAUAAUUCUUUGUUUUUUGCAGCAUUUUUGUUAGUGUAACUGCAGAUUGUGCUGACAGUCUAUGGCAAAAAAAACAAAAACUGAAAAUGCCUCAACAUGAACCCCUGGUGGUCUCUGAGGGUGAAACCUGCUAACUGCUGCAGCUCUGUCAGCUUCAGUCUCCCAUGCAGAGCUCGGAGCGCAUGUGUGGCUCUGCACCCUUAGCAGCGUUGCUAACUCCUCAGUAAGGAAAGCCUGCUUCAUGUCAGAGUCUCUAAACUCCAGAAGAAGUCGAUAAAAGUCCCUUUCUUUCUAAAAAAAAGUCGUUAGGGGGUCUGAAAAGUAAUUGAAUCUAACAACAAAGUCGCUAGGUUUGCAACUACGUGUCCCAGACUGCAUCCCUGCUGAGAGUCCCUCCCUCCCUUCUCAUGUUGCAGGAAGAACGUAAGCGCCCGCCCCUUGUCAAUCAGUCACCAUAUAAUUUUGGAUUGGUUGUUGUGGUGAAGUUUUCCACCAAUAGGAGAGAUGUUGUGGUGUGUUUUUUUUUUCUUUUGGCAAGCCUUUUCCGCCUGUAAGACCUGUCGCUAAUGUGUGCAUGCUAUGUUUUCCUGUCUCAUACAGCGCGAUCGAGCGCCGAACGUGAUCAAAAUAAGCAGAAAAAAAGUAUCGCGGACAUAAUUUAUCAUAACUCUGGUUUUAUUUGGCCUAUCAACACAAUUUAAAAACUGGUAUAUAGGUUGAGGUCCUCACUUUUGAGAUAAGUUGAAACGGAGAGUUAACGAGGCUCCGUCUUGCAGCUACAUCCGGUUAAAUAUGUCAUGUGACUUGAACGCUGGGGAGCGUCAAUCGAAUCGAAUCAAACCUAACUCUCAGAUGAAUCUUCAAAAUUCACCUCAGAAAUAUGCUUAUUAUUCUUCUCAGAGUACUGCAGGAUACACACACACACACACACACAGACACACACACACACACGCACACACACACACACACACACACACACACACACACUCAGAGUCUGUUUUUUAGCACCUGCAAAAACAUGCUAUUUACAUAUUUGACAAGAAUGCAGAGGCUUCCUUUUGCCCCUGAAAAAAAUCAAAUUUCAAACACAACUUGACUGCUCAUUUCUCCAAAAGACAACCAUGAAGCUCCAUCCAAACCUGAAGCAGGCAGUUGGUGCAUGUGUACAGUAACCUGAGGGGAGUGAGGUGACUGCUUCUAAGGAGAACAUGAGCAGUGAAGAUUCACCUUGGAGCUAGAACAGGGACGUGCACAUGAUAAUACAGGGGCAGGGGCUCAAGUUUUUUCCAGUCGUUUAUACAAUAUGGAAAUUAAUGUGAAAUUAAAAAACAAAGUAUGACUGUCCUGUGUAGGUGACAGUGAUAUCCAAUAGGCUAGGCACUCACGAGGCUGGCUGUGGCAAGUGUAAGUGAAAGCAACACGCACUGGCAGGAAGAACAGCAAACGCCGAUGAAGGAAAAGGGUCUUUGCAGUGAUGGGCGUUACCAGAGAGGGCGAUGGCCAGAGGACACGAAUGGGACAGGGAGGCAGCGCGUUGGGGGGGGGGGGGGUGCGACACGGCUCGGGCCCGCCAGUGCCCCAACGGGGCCCUAGUUAGGGCCCGAGCGUAGCUGCUAAGCAGCUGCGAGAGCCCUCUUGUUCCUGUAGUUUCCUUCUUUUGUUAUUAUUAUUAUUUUUCCUCCCCUUUGAACUGGAAAAUGGCCCACUUCCCACUGGCGAAAACUCAUGAAAUUUGGCAGGACGACCGGGCCUGGUGAAAAAUUUGAUAUUCCGAAGUCGCCCAAACAAGAAAAUGCAAAAUGGCUCCAUAGCGCCCCCUAAGGUGAAAAUUCACACUAUUCACUGUCACGCCGGUACGCUUUGUCAAAAUGACACAAAAAUUGACACACACAUGUAUCUCAAUAAGAUCUACAAAAAAGUCAGUGCGGGCGUAUCUGUCAAAUGUACGGUUAAAGGGUUAUUGCGCAUUUUUUGCCGAUCCGCACACAUUGGAAUUUCGCUAACUCCUCCGAAGGCUUUCGUUCCACCGGCACCACAUUUGCUCAGGCCAAUCUACACCCCAUGGCCAUUAAAAGUUAUUCAAAUCAUGAUGCUGCACCCCACGGUUUAGGUUCUAGGGGGCGCCAAAGAUAACCCUAAAAUCCACAUAUUUCAAAGUCUUAUAACUUUUUAUUUUUGCCCUCACUGGCCUCCAAGUUUUCUAGGAUGAUGCAAUGUCCAGCCAUCAACACAUUUGUGAAGGAAUUUUUACUCCCCAAAAGAGCGCCCCCCCAUGGCAGGAGAAAAAAGUCCAUUUUUUCUUGUCCCAUAAGGUGAAAAUUCACACUAUUGACUGUCACGCCUGUACGCUUUGUCAAAAUUACACAAAAAUUGACACACACAUGUAUCUCAAUAAGAUCUACAAAAAAGUCAAUGCUGGCGUAUCUGUCAAAUGUACGGUUAAAGGGUUAUUGCGCAUUUUUUGCCGAUCCGCACACAUUGGAAUUUCGCUAACUCCUCCGAAGGCUUUCGUUCCACCGGCACCACAUUUGCUCAGGCCAAUCUACACCCCAUGGCCAUUAAAAGUUAUUCAAAUCAUGACGCUGCACCCCACGGUUUAGGUUCUAGGGGGCGCCAAAGAUAACCCUAAAAUCCACAUAUUUAAAAGUCUUAUAACUUUUUAUUUUUGUCCUCUCUGGCCUCCAAGUUUUCUAGGAUGAUGCAAUGUCCAGCCAUCAACACAUUUGUGAAGGAAUUUUUACUCCCCAAAAGAGCGCCCCCCCAUGGCAGGAGAAAAAAGUCCAUUUUUUCUUGUCCCAUAAGGUGAAAAUACACAUUGUUGACUGUCAUACCUGUAUGCUUUGUCAUAUUGACACAAAAUUUGACACACACAUGUAUCUCAAUAAGAUCUACGAAAAAGUCAAUGCACGCGUAUCUGUAAAAUGUACGGUUAAAGGGCUAUUUUGCAUUUUUUGCCGAUUAGCACACAUUGGAAUGUGGCUAACUCCUCCUAAGGCUUUCGUCCCACUGACACCAAAUUUGCUCAGGCCAAUCUACACCCCAUGGCCAUUCAAAGUUUUAAAAAUCAUGACGCUGCACCCCACGGUUUACGUUCUAGGGGGCGCCAAAGAUGACCCAAAUAUCCACAUUCUUAAAAGAAUCCACAUCCCUCCCCCCCAUCCCCCAUCCCCCAUCCCCCAUGGCAGGAGAAACAGUCAAGUUUUUCCUGCCCAUCACUCAAUGGCUCAAUCGCAUCGCUCUCCCGGCAACACCGUAACGAGGAGCAACUUGCCGUUUGGAUAUAUCCUAGCUGUGUUUGUGCCCUCACUCAUGGUCCAGACUUUUUUCAAAUAGGACAUGUAGUUUGUCUGCAGCGAGUGUUUUGGUAGAAACUGCGCCUCCCAUUCAUUAUAAUGGGAAAUGACCACAGACAAGUGCGCACACCAUCUUUGGACCUUGAGUGUGACGCGAUCGGGAGGGGGAGGCGGUCGCACUGGGGGCGGCGCAACGCGGCUCGGGCCCGCCAGUGCCCCAACGGGGCCCUAGUUUCUUCUUUUUCCUCCCCUUUGAACUGGAAAAUGGCCCACUUCCCACUGGCGAAAACUCAUGAAAUUUGGCAGGACGACCGGGCCUGGUGAAAAAUUUGAUAUUCCGAAGUCGCCCAAACAAGAAAAUGCAAAAUGGCUCCAUAGCGCCCCCUAAGGUGAAAAUUCACACUAUUCACUGUCACGCCUGUACGCUUUGUCAAAAUGACACAAAAAUUGACACACACAUGUAUCUCAAUAAGAUCUACAAAAAAGUCAGUGCGGGCGUAUCUGUCAAAUGUACGGUUAAAGGGUUAUUCCGCAUUUUUUGCCGAUCCGCACACAUUGGAAUUUCGCUAACUCCUCCGAAGGCUUUCGUUCCACCGGCACCACAUUUGCUCAGGCCAAUCUACACCCCAUGGCCAUUAAAAGUUAUUCAAAUCAUGACGCUGCACCCCACGGUUUAGGUUCUAGGGGGCGCCAAAGAUAACCCUAAGAUCCACAUAUUUAAAAGUCUUAUAACUUUUUAUUUUUGCCCUCACUGGCCUCCAAGUUUUCUAGGAUGAUGCAAUGUCCAGCCAUCAACACAUUUGUGAAGGAAUUUUUACUCCCCAAAAGAGCGCCCCCCCAUGGCAGGAGAAAAAAGUCCAUUUUUUCUUGUCCCCUAAGGUGAAAAUACACAUUGUUGAGUGUAACACCUGUACGCUUUGGCAAAAUGACACAAAAAUUGACACACACAUGUAUCUCAAUAAGAUCUACGAAAAAGUCAAUGCGCGCGUAUCUGUCAAAUGUACGGUUAAAGGGUUAUUCCGCAUUUUUUGCCGAUCCGCACACAUUGGAAUUUCGCUAACUCCUCCGAAGGCUUUCGUUCCACCGGCACCACAUUUGCUCAGGCCAAUCUACACCCCAUGGCCAUUAAAAGUUAUUCAAAUCAUGACGCUGCACCCCACGGUUUAGGUUCUAGGGGGCGCCAAAGAUAACACUAAAAUCCACAUAUUUCAAAGUCUUAUAACUUUUUAUUUUUGUCCCCACUGGCCUCCAAAAUUUCUAGGAUGAUGCAAUGUCCAGCCAUCAACACAUUUGUGAAGGAAUUUUUACUCCCCAAAAGAGCGCCCCCCCAUGGCAGGAGAAAAAAGUCCAUUUUUUCUUGUCCACUAAGGUGAAAAUACACAUUGUUGAGUGCUACGCCUGUAUGUUUUGUCGUAUUGACACAAAAUUUUACAUACACGUGUAUUUCAAUAAGAUCUUCGAAAAAGUCAAUGGCCACGUAUCUGUAAAAUGUACAGUUAAAGGGUUAUUUCGCAUUUUUUGCAGAUUCGCACACAUUGGAAUUUCGCUAAUUCCUCCGAAGGCUUUCGUUCCACCGGCACCACAUUUGCUCAGGCCAAUCUACACCCCAUGGCCAUUAAAAGUUAUUCAAAUCAUGACGCUGCACCCCACGGUUUAGGUUCUAGGGGGCGCCAAAUAUAACCCUAAAAUCCACAUAUUUAAAAGUCUUAUAACUUUUUAUUUUUGUCCUCACUGGCCUCCAUGUUUUCUAGGAUGAUGCAAUGUCCAGCCAUCAACACAUUUGUGAAGGAGUUUUUUCUCUUUAAAAGAGCGCCCCCCAUGGCAGGAGAAUAAAGUCAAGUUUUUCCUGUUCAUCAUUCAAUGGCUCAAACGCACUGCUCUCUCGGCAAAAGCGAAAGGAGGAGCAACUUGCCAUUUGGAUAUAUCUUAGCUGUGUUUGUGCCCUCACUCAUGGUCCAGACUUUUUUCAAAUAGGACAUGGAGUUUUUCUGCAGCGAGCGUUUUGGUAGAAACUGCGCCUCCCGUUCAUUAUAAUGGUAAAUGACCACAAACAAGUGCGCACACCAUCUUUGGACCUUGAGUGUGACGCGAUCGGGUGGGGGAGGCGGUCGCGCUCGGGGCGGCGUGACACGGCUCGGGCCCGCCAGUGCCCCAACGGGGCCCUAGUUCUUCUUUUUCCUCCCCUUUGAACUGGAAAAUGGCCCACUUCCCACUGGCGAAAACUCAUGAAAUUUGGCAGGAUGACCGGGCCUGGUGAAAAAUUUGAUAUUCCGAAGUCGCCCAAACAAGAAAAUGCAAAAUGGCUCCAUAGCGCCCCCUAAGGUGAAAAUUCACACUAUUGACUGUCACGCCUUUACGCUUUGUCAAAAUGACACAAAAAUUGACACACAUAUGUAUCUCAAUAAGAUCUACAAAAAAGUCAGUGCGGGCGUAUCUGUCAAAUGUACGGUUAAAGGGUUAUUGCGCAUUUUUUGCCGAUCCGCACACAUUGGAAUUUCGCUAACUCCUCCGAAGGCUUUCGUUCCACCGGCACCACAUUUGCUCAGGCCAAUCUACACCCCAUGGCCAUUAAAAGUUAUUCAAAUCAUGACGCUGCACCCCACGGUUUACGUUCUAGGGGGCGCCAAAGAUAACACUAAAAUCCACAUAUUUCAAAGUCUUAUAACUUUUUAUUUUUGUCCUCACUGGCCUCCAAGUUUUCUAGGAUGAUGCAAUGUCCAGCCAUCAACACAUUUGUGAAGGAAUUUUUACUCCCCAAAAGAGCGCCCCCCCAUGGCAGGAGAAAAAAGUCCAUUUUUUCUUGUCCCCUAAGGUGAAAAUACACAUUGUUGAGUGUCACGCCUGUACGCUUUGUCAAAAUGACACAAAAAUUGACACACACAUGUAUCUCAAUAAGAUCUACAAAAAAGUCAAUGGGCGCGUAUCUGUCAAAUGUACGGUUAAAGGGUUAUUCCGCAUUUUUUGCCGAUUCGCACACAUUGGAAUUUCGCUAACUCCUCCGAAGGCUUUCGUUCCACCGGCACCACAUUUGCUCAGGCCAAAUUACACCCCAUGGCCAUUAAAAGUUAUUCAAAUCAUGACGCUGCACCCCACGGUUUACGUUCUAGGGGGCGCCAAAGAUAACCCAAAAAUCCAAAUUUUUAAAAGUCUUAUAACUUUUUAUUUUUGUCCUCACUGGCCUCCAAGUUUUCUAGGAUGAUGCAAUGUCCAGCCAUCAACACAUUUGUGAAGGAAUUUUUACUCCCUAAAAGAGCGCCCCCCAUGGCAGGAGAAAAAAGUCCAUUUUUUCUUGUCCCCUAAGGUGAAAAUACACAUUGUUGACUGUCAUGCCUGUACGCUUUGGCAAAAUGACACAAAAAUUGACAAUCAUGUGUAUCUCAAUUAGAUCUACGAAAAAGUCAAGAGCGCGUAUCUGUAUAAUGUACGGUAAAAGGGCUAUUUUGCAUUUUUUGCCGAUUCGCACAUAUUGGAAUUUCGCUAACUCCUCCUAAGGCUUUCGUCCCACUGACACCAAAUUUGCUCAGGCCAAUCUACACUCCAUGGCCAUUCAAAGUUGUAAAAAUCAUGACGCGGCACCCCACGGUUUACGUUUUAGGGGGCGCCAAAGAUGACCCAAAUAUACAUUACAGUAGACAAAGUAGUUUUGCCCACUGAGUGGCGCCAAAGGGACUUGUCUGUGGAGUCUGUGAGUCACUAUUGGCCGUUUUUGACUACUUUAGAUUUUACCUUUAUAUUUCCUCUUACAAAAUUUUUACCUUGCCUUGCCUGGUAUCAUUUUUUUCAGCACAACCUCACCUGUGUCAAUUUACAGUUAUUUUAUCAUUUUGACAUACUAUAUUUACACAUUGGACCCAAAUUCACACACAAAACAUAAAAUCCGAGUGGAAAAAAGUAACGUUUUUACUGUGAAAACCACAAAUAUGUGUGAUGAACUGUUUUUAAAACUUAAACUUCAAAUAAAAAUUGUAAACUUCAAAACAUAUGCAAAUUUUUAACAAAGAACAUAGUAAUUUACCUCUAUUGACAUCAAAAUGCAGGCAAUGGCCCAGGUGUUCUUUGUAAAAUUAUUUACAAAACACUGUAUAGUCUCACAAAUGUCACUUUUUAUUUAUGCCACUACAAAAAAACAUGAUGUAAAUGAUGCAUGAUGUAAAACAUGAUGUAAAAAACUUGUGUAGAUCCUCCUCUAUGUCAGUCCAUGUGUAAUUUUUCCAUAAUUCUUUGUUUUUUGCAGCAUUUUUGUUAGUGUAACUGCAGAUUGUGCUGACAGUGUCUAUGGCAAAAAAAAAACAAAAACUGAAAAUGCCUCAACAUGAACCCCUGGUGGUCUCUGAGGGUGAAACCUGCUAACUGCUGCAGCUCUGUCAGCUUCAGUCUCCCAUGCAGAGCUCGGAGCGCAUGUGUGGCUCUGCACCCUUAGCAGCGUUGCUAACUCCUCAGUAAGGAAAGCCUGCUUCAUGUCAGAGUCUCUAAACUCCAGAAGAAGUCGAUAAAAGUCACUUUCUUUCUAAAAAAACGUCGUUAGGGGGUCUGAAAAGUCAUUGAAUCUAACAACAAAGUCGCUAGGUUUGCAACUACGUGUCCCAGACUGCAUCCCUGCUUAGAGUCCCUCCCUCCCUUCUCAUAUUGCAGGAAGAACGUAAGCGC